rnacentral:rRNA from 1 species
GACCGCUGGUGUGAAACCAGAGGAAGGGGAGGGCAACGACAGGUCAGUAUGCCCCGAAUGUCUUGGGCUACACGCGCGCUACAAAGGGCAGGACAAUGGGAUGCUAGGCCGAGAGGCAUUCAAGCUAACCCGAAACCUGUUCAUAGUUCGGAUUGAGGGCUGUAACUCGCCCUCAUGAAGCUGGAUUGCGAAGUAAUCGUGUUUCAACAUAGCACGGUGAAUAUGCCCCUGCUCCUUGCACACACCGCCCGUCAAACCAUCUUAGUUGGGGGUGGGUGAGGCUGCGCUUUAUGGCGUAUUCGAGCCUGUCUUUAACAAGGAGGGUUAAGUCGUAACAAGGUAACC